rnacentral:lncRNA from 1 species
CUUUGGAUAGGAUCAUUUCCAAAGUUUUUCAUAAUUGCCAUUUCUUAUUUAACUCUUUUACAUGAGACUGAUAUUGGGGUUGACCUUCCUUUCUUUCUGCUCUUCCAUUUCUUGUUUGAUGCUGGCACCUGAAUGGCCUAGUAGAUAAGCCAACUCCUAGAAUAUCCCACACACUGAGACAGGCCCCCCACCUCAGAUUCUAGGACAACACUAACUUUACAUUCUCAGUCAUUCUAGAGUUUGACAUAAAACCAGUUUUCCUUAGCUCUUACUGGACCAUAUGUCAACUCCUAGAAAUCCAACUUUCCAGAAAACAGGAAUGAACCUUCCACACUAGAUCCUAUUUCCUGACUGACAUCCUCUCACUGAUCCAGAGAAUGUGAAGAAUGGGGUAGAGAGUGAAAGAGGAGGGGCCUUCAGGGAGAGUAAAAUUGUCCGGGGAUAGUUCUUGUCCUGUCUCUAAGACCCUCCCUGCUCAAUGUGUUUUCUGCUGAGAGUGAAUUACAGGAAAUGAAGCAGAUGAUCCAAGUGGCCCUUGCUGGUAUCUUCAUAACCACCACUCAGUGUGGGAUGAAUCACUCAGCUAAGUACAGGUUGAGCUUGCUUUAAGAAAACAGUGUAUUUUAAAAAUAUGUGGUUAUACCUCUUCUGCUAUAAAAUCC